CCUACGGGUGGCAGCAGUGAGGAAUAUUGGUCAAUGGGCGCGAGCCUGAACCAGCCAAGUCGCGUGAGGGAAGACGGUCCUAUGGAUUGUAAACCUCUUUUGUCGGGGAGCAAAAGACGCCACGCGUGGCGUUCCGCGAGUACCCGAAGAAAAAGCAUCGGCUAACUCCGUGCCAGCAGCCGCGGUACUACGGAGGAUGCGAGCGUUAUCCGGAGUUAUUGGGUUUAAAGGGUGCCCAGGCGGAAGAUCAAGUCAGCGGUAAAAUUGAGAGGCUCAACCUCUUCGAGCCGUUGAAACUGGUUUUCUUGAGUGAGUGAGAAGUAUGCGGAAUGCGUGGUGUAGCGGUGAAAUGCAUAGAUAUCACGCAGAACUCCGAUUGCGAAGGCAGCAUACCGGCGCUCAACUGACGCUCAUGCACGAAAGUGUGGGUAUCGAACAGGAUUAGAUACCCGAGUAGUC
rnacentral:rRNA from 1 species